AGCUGGUUAGCUCAGCCAGUUAGAGCGUGGUGCUAAUAACGCCAAGGUCACAGGUUUGAUCCCUGUAUGGGCCA
rnacentral:tRNA from 1 species